AGCGAACGCUGGCGGCAGGCCUAACACAUGCAAGUCGAACGAACUCUUCGGAGUUGGUGGCGGACGGGUGGGUAACACGUUGGAACGUGCCUUUUAGUUCGGAAUAACUCAGGGGAACUUGUGCUAAUACGGGCUGUGCUCUUCGGGGCAAAGAUUUGUCGACAUUAGAGCGGCCUCCGACUGAUUAGCUAGUUGGUGAGGUAACGGCUCACCAAGGCGACGAUCAGUAGCUGGUCUGUGAGGAUGACCUGCCACACUGGGCCUGAGACACGGCCCAGACUCCUACGGGAGGCAGCAGUGGGGAAUCUUGCGCAAUGGGCGAAAGCCAGACGCAGCCAGGCCGCGUGAAUGAUGAAGGUCUUAGGAUUGUAAAAUUCUUUCACCGGGGACUAUAAUGACGGUACCCGGAGAAGAAGCCCCGGCUAACUUCGUG
rnacentral:rRNA from 1 species